rnacentral:sRNA from 1 species
AGGAUAACGUUGCUUUAGCAACGGCCCGAAGGGCGAGGCGAAGCCGAGUCAUCCUGCACGACCCACCA